AGGGAGCUAGUCCAAAACAAGACCUUUGAUUUCGGCUCAAAAAAUUGUGGCUUAAUCCCACAGCCCCCUU
rnacentral:tRNA from 1 species